rnacentral:rRNA from 1 species
AGAGUUUGAUCCUGGCUCAGAACGAACGCUGGCGGAGUGCUUAAUACAUGCAAGUCGAGCGAGAAAGAGGGGGCAACUCCUUUAGUAAAGCGGCGACCGGGUGAGUAACACGUAAGCAACCUACCUUUAAGUUUGGGAUAACCUUGCUAACGCAGGGCUAAUACCGGAUGUGAUUUUCGGAAUGCAUAUUUUGAAAAUUAAAGAGGACCUCUUCAUGAAAGUUCUUGCUUAGAGAUGGGCUUGCGGCCCAUUAGCUAGUUGGUAGGGUAAUGGCCUACCAAGGCAGUGAUGGGUAGCCGACCUGAGAGGGUGAUCGGCCACAUUGGGACUGAGAUACGGCCCAGACUCCUGCGGGAGGCAGCAGUAGGGAAUUUUGCCCAAUGGACGCAAGUCUGAGGCAGCAACUCCGCGUGAGGGAUGAAGGUUUUCGGAUUGUAAACCUCUGUUGAGUGGGAAGAAAAGUCUGUAUGCUAAUAUCAUAUGGAUCUGACGGUACCGCUCUAGAAAGCUCCGGCUAACUACGUGCCAGCAGCCGCGGUAAUACGUAGGGAGCUAGCGUUGUUCGGAAUCACUGGGCGUAAAGGGAGUGUAGGCGGAAGGGUAAGUUAGGAGUGAAAUCUACAGGCUCAACCUGUAACGUGCUUCUAAUACUACUUUUCUAGAGUAUGGGAGAGGAUGAUGGAAUUCCAGGUGUAGCGGUAAAAUGCGUAGAUAUCUGGAAGAACACCAGUUGCGAAGGCGGUCAUCUGGCCCAAUACUGACGCUGAGGCUCGAAAGUUGGGGGAGCAAACAGGAUUAGAUACCCUGGUAGUCCCAACCUUAAACGAUGGACACUAGAUGUUGGAGGUUUUAAAGCUUUCAGUGUCGCAGCUAACGCAUUAAGUGUCCCGCCUGGGGAGUACGCUCGCAAGGGUGAAACUCAAAGGAAUUGACGGGGGCCCGCACAAGCGGUGGAGCAUGUGCUUUAAUUCGAUGCAACGCGAAGAACCUUACCUGGCCUUGACAUGGGAGUGAAAGGUUCCAGAGAUGGAAUCCCUUCCUUUUGGAACACUCUACACAGGUGCUGCAUGGUUGUCGUCAGCUCGUGUCGUGAGAUGUUGGGUUAAGUCCCGCAACGAGCGCAACCCUCGUCCUUAGUUGCCAUCAGGUAAUGCUGGGAACUCUAAGGAGACCGCCUGUUUCAAACAGGAGGAAGGUGAGGAUGACGUCAAAUCAUCAUGGCCCUUACGGCCAGGGCUAGACACGUGCUACAAUGGACGGUACAGAGGGAUGCAAAACUGUGAGGUCGAGCUAAUCCCAAAAAAACCGUUCUCAGUUCAGAUAGGAGUCUGCAAUUCGACUCCAUGAAGCUGGAAUCGCUAGUAAUCGCGGAUCAGAACGCCGCGGUGAAUACGUUCCCGGGCCUUGUACACACCGCCCGUCAAACCAUGAAAGGUGGGAGUACCCGAAGCCGUUUAUUUAACCGCAAGGAGAAAAACGUCUAAGGUAAGACCACUAAUUGGGGCUAA